GACGAACGCUGGCGGCGUGCUUAACACAUGCAAGUCGAACGGAAAGGCCCUGCUUUUGUGGGGUGCUCGAGUGGCGAACGGGUGAGUAACACGUGAGUAACCUGCCCUUGACUUUGGGAUAACUUCAGGAAACUGGGGCUAAUACCGGAUAGGAGCUCCUGCUGCAUGGUGGGGGUUGGAAAGUUUCGGCGGUUGGGGAUGGACUCGCGGCUUAUCAGCUUGUUGGUGGGGUAGUGGCUUACCAAGGCUUUGACGGGUAGCCGGCCUGAGAGGGUGACCGGCCAAAUUGGGACUGAGAUACGGCCCAGACUCCUACGGGAGGCAGCAGUGGGGAAUAUUGAAAAAUGGGCGGAAGCCUGAUGCAGCAACGCCGCGUGCGGGAUGACGGCCUUCGGGUUGUAAACCGCUUUCGCCUGUGACGAAGCGUGAGUGACGGUAAUGGGUAAAGAAGCACCGGCUAACUACGUG
rnacentral:rRNA from 1 species